rnacentral:rRNA from 1 species
CACAAAAGAAAAUGCCCGGACUUAGUCUUAAAAUUGGAUUUUAGGAAAGCCUUUGACUCUGUCUCUUGGGAGAGUCUUUAUCGUAUCCUUCAAGCCAAAGGCUUUUCAGAAACUUGGAUUCGUUGGAUUAUGAUGCUGAACGACUCUGACCAAUCGGCUAUUCUUCUUAACGAUGUUCCCGGGAACUGGAUUCAAUGUAAAAAUGGUCUCAGACAAGGCGACCCCAUUUCACCUUACCUCUUCAUCAUUAUUGCCGAUAUCCUCCAACGCAUGAUCCUAGAGGCCUCAACUUAG